rnacentral:lncRNA from 10 species
UCUUUUUGUCAAUAUCACCAUCUAUUUUAUUUGUGUCUUAUCUCAUUACAAAAAGAAACUGAGCUCCGAAAAUCAUAUUAUGCAGUAAACAUGAGACUAUUUGUGCAUGCACACGUUAUUUAUUAUAAAAUACUUUUGCAAAGACACUGAAGGUUUUUGACGUAAUAAUUCAUUCUUCUACCACCCUUACAGAGCAAAAGUUUUCUAUUUUUUCAUAUUCCAAAUGUGCCAUCAUAGUUUCAAGUCUGUCUUCUGCCUUGUUCUCUUAGCAUUGCUUUAUAACCAAUUUUCAUGUCGCUACGUGGUCUUUGCAGCUAUAACGUUUCCUGGAAUAUAAUGUUGCAUCAAAUAGAUUUCAUCUUCCUGGUAACAGCAGUGUCCAUCUCCUACGAAACUCUCCAUCACCCACCCGACUCCAUGUGGUUCCAGUGGGACAGCCAAUCACAACAGCCUCCCUCUGGCCACGUGACUCAGACCCUGCACUCAAAGCAUCAUCUGGCAACACCCGGAUCAAUAAACUGGUUCAUCUGUUCUUGUGGCCCCCACCCAGGAACCGACCCAGUGAAAGAGGAGAGUUUCAACUCCCUGUGAUUUCGUCUCCCACCUAACCAAUUAGCACUCCCCACUUUCUGACCCCCUACCCACCAAAUUAUCAAAAACCCUGAUCUCUGAAUUUUCAGGGAGAUUGACUUGAGUAAUAAUCAAUUUUGCAUGUGGCAUGGCCGGCCUCGUGUCAAUUAAACUCUUUCUUUACUGCAAUGCCGUGGUCUUUAUUUGUGCAGAGGACAGGAAGAGCCCACUGGGCAGUUACAU